rnacentral:lncRNA from 1 species
AACAUUUAAUGAAUGGCACAACCUCACUACACCCAGUAUUUGCUAGUUUAUUAAAAGCACUUAUUUAGGGAUCCCUGGGUGGCGCAGCGGUUUGGCGCCUGCCUUUGGCCCAGGGCGCGAUCCUGGAGACCCGGGAUCGAAUCCCACAUCAGGCUCCCGGUGCAUGGAGCCUGCUUCUCCCUCCGCCUGUGUCUCUGCCUCUCUCUCUCUCUCUCUGUGACUAUCAUAAAUAAAUAAAAAAUUAAAAAAAAAAACAUUUUAAAAGCACUUAUUUAAACAUGUCACUCUCUUUCAAUUAGAUGGAAGACAUGGCUUCACUUCCGAUGUAUAAGGCAUACGGCUUCAACAAAAAUCCUUAAUGAGAAGGACCAUCAGGGGCCUAAAUCUAAAGAAAACAGCUCAGUGACUGAGUGAAAUGACACCUUCUGAUCUUGGGACCACUUUCAGGUGGAACAAAUGAUGGCCUUACAGCACCAGCAACACCACCACCAGCAGCAACAUAAGAUGGAGGUUGACCAAAAUAGGCAUGGUAUGAAGACAGCAAGGCUACACCUUCCUGGCACAAAAGACACCCAAUCAGCAACCAUGCAUCUCAAGUCUAUUACAAGACAUGUGGAGAUCUACAUAUAACGAGUAGAAUAUAAGACCAAAUUAAACUUUCAUCUUCUACAUUUGAGUUGCCUAAACAACUAUUUUGAUCAAAACUUUAGAGUUUAUCAAACAUCCUUUUGAUACCUAUAAUAGUUUCU